CGGGACACGUGGUAUCCUGUCUGAAUAUGGGGGGACCAUCCUCCAAGGCUAAAUACUCCUGACUGACCGAUAGUGAACCAGUACCGUGAGGGAAAGGCGAAAAGAACCCCGGCGAGGGGAGUGAAAAAGAACCUGAAACCGUGUACGUACAAGCAGUGGGAGCACGCUUCGGCGUGUGACUGCGUACCUUUUGUAUAAUGGGUCAGCGACUUAUAUUCUGUAGCAAGGUUAACCGAAUAGGGGAGCCGAAGGGAAACCGAGUCUUAACUGGGCGUUAAGUUGCAGGGUAUAGACCCGAAACCCGGUGAUCUAGCCAUGGGCAGGUUGAAGGUUGGGUAACACUAACUGGAGGACCGAACCGACUAAUGUUGAAAAAUUAGCGGAUGACUUGUGGCUGGGGGUGAAAGGCCAAUCAAACCGGGAGAUAGCUGGUUCUCCCCGAAAGCUAUUUAGGUAGCGCCUCGUGAAUUCAUCUCCGGGGGUAGAGCACUGUUUCGGCAAGGGGGUCAUCCCGACUUACCAACCCGAUGCAAACUGCGAAUACCGGAGAAUGUUAUCACGGGAGACACACGGCGGGUGCUAACGUCCGUCGUGAAGAGGGAAACAACCCAGACCGCCAGCUAAGGUCCCAAAGUCAUGGUUAAGUGGGAAACGAUGUGGGAAGGCCCAGACAGCCAGGAUGUUGGCUUAGAAGCAGCCAUCAUUUAAAGAAAGCGUAAUAGCUCACUGGUCGAGUCGGCCUGCGCGGAAGAUGUAACGGGGCUAAACCAUGCACCGAAGCUGCGGCAGCGACACUAUGUGUUGUUGGGUAGGGGAGCGUUCUGUAAGCCUGUG
rnacentral:rRNA from 1 species